rnacentral:rRNA from 1 species
AAUGAACGCUGGCGGCAGGCCUAACACAUGCAAGUCGAACGAGAGGCGGACGGGUGAGUAAUGUCUGGGAAACUGCCCGAUGGAGGGGGAUAACUACUGGAAACGGUAGCUAAUACCGCAUACCAUCGGAUGUGCCCAGAUGGGAUUAGCUAGGAGGUGGGGUAACGGGUCACCUAGGCGAAGAUCCCUAGCUGGUCUGAGAGGAUGACCAUCCACACUGGAACUGAGACACGGUCCAGACUCCUACGGGAGGCAGCAGUGGGGAAUAUUGCACAAUGGGCGCAAGCCUGAUGCAGCAAUGCCGCGUGUAUGAAGAAGGUCUUCGGGUUGUAAAAUCCUUUCAGCGAGGAGGCGUUACUCGCAGAAGAAGCACCGGCUAACUCCGUGCCAGCAGCCGCGGUAAUAC